UAGUGGCGAACGGGUGAGUAACACGUGGGCAAUCUGCCCUUCACUCUGGGACAAGCCCUGGAAACGGGGUCUAAUACCGGAUAACACUCUGUCCCGCAUGGGACGGGGUUGAAAGCUCCGGCGGUGAAGGAUGAGCCCGCGGCCUAUCAGCUUGUUGGUGGGGUGAUGGCCUACCAAGGCGACGACGGGUAGCCGGCCUGAGAGGGCGACCGGCCACACUGGGACUGAGACACGGCCCAGACUCCUACGGGAGGCAGCAGUGGGGAAUAUUGCACAAUGGGCGAAAGCCUGAUGCAGCGACGCCGCGUGAGGGAUGACGGCCUUCGGGUUGUAAACCUCUUUCAGCAGGGAAGAAGCGAGAGUGACGGUACCUGCAGAAGAAGCGCCGGCUAACUACGUGCCAGCAGCCGCGGUAAUACGUAGGGCGCANGCGNUUGUCCGGAAUUAUUGGGCGUAAAGAGCUCGUAGGCGGCUUGUUGCGUCGGUUGUGAAAGCCCGGGGCUUAACCCCGGGUCUGCAGUCGAUACGGNCAGCCUAGAGUGUGGUAGGGGAGAUCGGAAUUCCU
rnacentral:rRNA from 1 species